rnacentral:lncRNA from 1 species
CCAUCCUUCCCAACCCAAGUAGAUAUAUUCAGUUGUCUGUCAACCAUGGAAUUGUCUUGUGAGUAUAUAGCAUUAUGAUGUAAUAAGAUAUUUUGGUAAAUACUAGUGGUGGACAUAAAUAUCGAAAAUCAAACCAAACCAAAAUAAAUCAAUUUUUCGGUUUGAUUUUUGUUCUAUUUUUUCUGAAACUUUGACAUUCGGAUCGCUGUGUAAUUAUAGGGCCCCAAUUCUUCAGUUACUUCAAAGAAGUGUUUAAGCAAACUCCAUUCACAAUUUCAUAUUCCUUUUUGAGAGAGCUGAAUCCAUUUUUUCUCCAGUUGAUAAUAUUCAACUAUUGAUGUGGAUGAGAGAGCUGGAUCAUGGGUGAAGCACGAGUUUAGAUUGGGAGUCGUAAAGAGGACGUCCUUCAAGCCCUUUAUUUAUAACAAUUUUUUCAUCUCUUCUUUCAAACCUAUUCAACCGGUUGGAGGGUAAGUCAAUCCCAUAGUUCGACAACAAAGAACAGACCAUCUCUGAGGGAAAAAAAACCACUAGACAUGAUAUUUCAACUAGCAACAACAAUGUAAUGUGAUCUACAUUACUUCGAAUCACAAAUUAUCUUUACAUUCCAUACUAAAUGCCAUCAAAUCACUUAUGGCAUGGGAACCGCUUGAUUAGUAGCCGCCUAGGGACCACGCUAUGACAUUUUAUAUUAUCACAUUUGUACUACCAAAUCUCUGACAUGAAAUAAAUGGUGCUUAUCUUCAAA